rnacentral:rRNA from 1 species
UACGUAGGGGGCAAGCGUUGUCCGGAUUUAUUGGGCGUAAAGAGCGUGUCGGCGGCUAGGUAGGUCCGUUGUGAAAACUCGAGGCUCAACCUCGAGACGCCGGUGGAAACCAUCUAGCUAGAGUCCGGAAGAGGAGAGUGGAAUUCCUGGUGUAGCGGUGAAAUGCGCAGAUAUCAGGAAGAACACCCGUGGCGAAGGCGGCUCUCUGGGACGUGACUGACGCUGAGACGCGAAAGCGUGGGGAGCGAACAGG